rnacentral:tRNA from 1 species
GCCUAUAUAGCUCAGUCGGUAGAGCACUUCCUUGGUAAGGAAGAGGUCACCGGUUCAAGUCCGGUUGUAGGCU